rnacentral:lncRNA from 1 species
UCGUCUUAUUCUAAAAGAGUGCAAUGUCUGCCACCUAGUAUUGAAAUUGAAAAUCACAAGGAAUACAAGGUGGAAAAGGUACUAGAUUUGUGGCACAAGUGGAAAAAAUUGGAAUAUCUAGUGCAUUAGAGCGGCUAUGAUAUCAAUGAGCACACAUAGAAACCAGUGAAAAAUCUUAUCAAUGCAUUACAAAAGGUAUAGGAGUUUCAUUGAUACUAUCCUCAGAAACCUAAGUCCUUUCAAUGAAAGUUUUUCAGUGAAGUUCCAUCUCCUUGAAGCCUCUUAAUCCUCGACCUUAUCAAGAAGGGGGAGAAGGAACCUCUAAAAGACAUAGUUAGAGACUAUAAAUCUGUAACUUGAGCCCAUUCUUCCAUGUUUAGUGCUUAUUUUUUUAGUCUAAUAUAGAUAGCCAAGAGAUAGAUACCAUAUUAAUCAUGUCCUCUCAAUUGAGUAUGUCACAAAGACGACCCCGAGAUGAAGAACUGCUUGUACUACGAAGAUGAUAGAGGGUACUUAGUAAUAGGUCACUAGUGAUUGUAUUUGAGGUAGAACCUACCUAUGGUGAUCUUCUCAAAGGAGUGUUUGUAGGGCAUUUUCACAAUGAAGAUACGAAAGUUCAUGCCUGGUCAAAAAUCGAAGGCAUAGGACACUAUUGUUGGUUACAAGGACCAAUGAACUAUUUUUUGUGCUAACAAAAAUUGGAGAAUAUUACAAACACUAUGCGACAAAUUUUUAACUUCUUACAUUGGUACUGACUCGCAAUAGGAGUGCUUCUCGGAGACCUCAAAGCUAAAGGGAAGAGGUGAUGUCAAGGACAUACACUAGGAAGUUGUAGAAGUUUCUAGAGAAGCUUUGUAGUUUGUAGAAGCUACUUGAGAAGUUUUUAGGCUCGUGGAAGUUGCUUGAGAAGCUUCUUAGCUUGUCGAAGUUGCUUGAGAAGCUUUCUAAGUCAUAGAAACUGCUUGAGAAGCUUCCAAGUUUGUGCAAGCUACUUGAGAAGCUUCCUAGCUUGUAGUAUAUAUAGGAGCUAAGACUGAGGAGAUUCUUAGUCUCAAAAAUACACCUCUUGGAGCUCUAGCUCACCUCUCUAGUAUUAUUCUUGUACUCAUCUGAUUAAUCUAGUUCUUGUCGAUUCUUCUUGAGUUUCUUGUUUAGAUUUUCAGUUAGUAUUCUAAAUUCGUGAUAGUCAAUAUAUAAAUUUGAAAUCAAAUCUUCAUAAUGACAUACUCCAAUGGACUUAGCAAUGAUUCAAAAUACGUAACAAUAUGAAAUAUUUGAGGUUCUUGUGAUUUAUAUAUACUAUGAUUGGAUUUGAAGCGCCUUCUAGAUAAUGACACCAUUCUUAAAAUAAAUCCAUAAUUGCAAGAAUUUCUUUAUUAUGGAUCUUAUAGUUAAUCUUGCCUACUGAAAAAUUCUUGGAAUAAAAAGCUAUUGAAUGGAAUUUGUCAUUUGUUUCCAUUUGUGAUAAUACUAUAUCCAAAGUAAAAUUUGAUGCAUCUGUUUCCAUAAAGAAUGCCUUAGAAUGUCAAUGCGAUACAAAAUUGGUGCAGAAGUAAAUUUCUUCUUCAAAGCAACAAACAAUGCUUCAACUUUUUUAUUCUACUUAAGUUUGUCUUUACAAGUCAAAUGUGUAAGUGGAGUUGUAACUUGAGAAAAGUUCUUGAUAAGAUUUGAUAAUAAUUGGCAAAGCUCAAAAAGCAUUGCACAUCUCUUAUUGUUCUUGGAAACUUCCAAUCUAUGAUAGUUUGGACCUUCUUUACAUCUAUCAUAAGGCCUUCAUUGGAAAUGAUGUAUUCCAAAAAAUCAACUUGAGUAGUAUGGAAUACACACUUUUCCAUCUUUGCAUAUAAUCUUGUAUCUCUUAGUUUUUGUAACACACGACAAAUAUGAACUUCAUGCUCUUUUGUGUUCUAAGAAUAGAUUAAAAUAUCAUUCAAAUAAUAGAUGAUAAAAUCUUUAAGAAACUCAUGAAAGACAUCAUUCAUUAGAUGUUAAAAAAUAGCUGAUGCAUUUGUGAGUCCAAAAAGCAUGAUAUUAUAAUCAAAAUGUUCCUACUUAGUUUGGAAAGCAGUCUUCUAUUCAUCUCCUUCUUUGAUGUGGAUCAAGUUAUAUGCUCCUCGUAGAUCUAUUUUUGUAUAGAUAUUUGCUUGAUUUAAUUGAUAAAAAAGUCCUAAAAUUAUUAUAUUUUUUGUGUAUAAUUUGGCAAUUAAGACUAUCUAGAUAAAUAAUUUUAUUGGAAAUACAAUAAUUACUCUUGAAACACAAGAUUCUAAUCAUUUUUAUAAUUAAUAAUUAUAGUGAUAAUAAUAGUUAUUAUUUUUAACACAAUUAUUAUAAAAUGAUUUUUUCUUAUUUUUAUUGUCAUUCAAUAAAUUUCAUUCUUUUCUAUAAUUUAGAAAUAAUUGAUUUCUUUUAAAAGAAUCCAAAAUGAACUUGGUUUUUUCUUUAUUAAUAAUAAUUGAUUUUUCCAAACAAACAAGGAAUUACUUUGACUUCCUCUAAAUUGUCAUCUUUUAUGUUGUUCUAAUCUUGUCAUACAGAUGAUAUCCAUGGAAAAUUUGAUCUAAAAUCAUGGAAGUGGCUCCACUUCUUCAAGUCAAAAUAUAAUCAAAACAUAAUAUAAUAUAUUCUUGAAAAUAAUUUAAGGCUAGCACAAAUGUUGUUAUGAAAAUAAAUCUAAACAGAUACUUUUACGAGUAAAACAAACACCAUAAGAAAUAAGAAAAUAUAUCCAACUAAAGUAGUAUUCAAACAAAACAAGAACAAACAAACAAACAAACAAACAAAAUGUAUACAAUACAAGAGAAACCAAGAUCAUAAGAUAACUCUCAGCAAAUUCAAAAGAAAAAGACUGCUCUGUAACAAAUAUUAAGGUGAAUUACAAUCAGAUCGAACAAAAAUAUUAAAAAGAAAAUCAUGUUAACAAUUUACUCGGUUUGGGUUACAUGAAGAUUGGAAGAACAUCUUCAAAUCCCAGCAUGCACCGGCAAAAAUUCUAAACUCUUCUACCAACCAGUAAAAAAAUAAAAAUAAAAAACAACCUCAGUUUGAUUUGGCGAUACACUAUUCAUUUCAACUAAUACUUUCACUUUAAUUCCGUUGCUUUACAACCACAUUCUUUCGCAUUCCAGGGCCAAAAUAUCCCCCCCCCCAAUCCAGUCACAGCUCCACAUCACCUCAAGGACCAGAACAACUCUGAGAAAACAAAGCACCUUCACAUUCUACGCGAAAGGGAGCAAACAUAAAACAGGCACGUGCGUGCAAUUGGAAUGGGGCCGAGACUACGCCCCUUGCACAAGAAGCAUGAAUAAGAAUACCAACUGUGCAUCCAGAAAAUCCCAGAACCCAUUAGAAACGAAACACAGACAGAGAUGAGGAGACCGGAAGCUGAAAUGAAAAAGACGGCGGGCCCAGCUUGGAUGUGACCACUCACCAACCAAAGCAUAUGCCGCACAUUCAAGGCAGGGCAGCUCGGGGGCUGGGAGGGAGGCAGCUUGUGAAAGGAGACCCGGUCCAAGGAAUGCGUGACGCAGUAAUACCGCCACGGAUCGAGGAUACCGCCAACUCUGUGAUUGGGCGCCCCCACCUCACCCCCGGCUUCCCCGGCUCCUUCCUGGUCCUGAACCCGACCCGACCCGGCCCGCUGCGCCCCCACCCUGCCCCCACGGAUGGCUAUGCCAUGCCCUCUCUAGAACUGGGGUGCCACUAAGUUACUGGUGCUGGUGGAAGUGCCAUCAUCCAUCGUCAUGGCCAUCAUCCAUCGUUAUGGCCAUCAUCCAUCGUCCUUCCUACCUUCCUAUGUACCGUGCCCCCCUAGCCUUGAAGGGCAAGCUAACAACCUCAGCGAUUCAUCCCCCCCCCCCCCUUUGGUCAAUGGAGCGCCCUUGACCGCAAACAAGCAAAAUCCAGACAGACAGGCUCCCGUCCGGACUCUCUCUCUCCUCUAUAAGAACCCCGUGGCGGUAGAGCGCUGCAGUCAUCCGAUUGAUUCUCCUGCUCCUCCACCUCCUUCACCCAACAAGUGUUGUGUUGCUCGCGGAGUGACUAGCUUACCGUUCUUUCAUUCUCUCUUGCGCGGAUCGUUUGGUUGCAUUCAUUCGUCGAUCGCAGGCUCAGAGUCCGAAUUCCAACAAUGGCAGCGGGUCACGGUGUUUCUGUGCAGAGGAUGGGCAGGUCGCGGAGGGCUGCCCCCAGACGAGGCCAGGUGAAGGCUGCCAUAGCCCUCUCCCUGCUGCAUUCCCUUUCGUCCGCUGUCCUGAGGACUCGCUCCGCGGUGUCCCGCUCCCGCCGGCCGUUCUCGUGGCACAGCAGCUGAGGCGCGGGCGAGGCGACCCGUGCGUGGUCGCGCUGAGCGAUGGUAAUUGGAAUUUGAAUGGAACGGCCACACCACAGGUAUGGCGAUCGCGGGGCGCUUCUCCGGCAGAGCGCACCCGAAAUGGGGACCCCGCCGCCUGUCGCGGCGCCAGCUCCAGCGCGUCGUGUUUCACGUCAUGUUUACACGUCGAGGUUUGCUCGGAACAGGAUGCGCGACGAGUCCGAGCGUCCGUCGGACGGGGUUCGAUACAUUUUUCGUAGGCAUUCGAUGCAGGGAAGAGGGGAUUGGGGAUUGGUUGAUUGAGAACCAAGGAAGCGUGGUGCGCGACCCCAUGAGCAGGAGUACGUCCCGAUGAUGGGGGUGGGAGGGCCCCGGGAGGGGCUUCACUGUCGACUCGACGGUCGCCUUGUGUGCGUCACGCUUGCCGUGCUAGGUGUUUAGACAUCAUUGCUUGGCAUCAUCGUGCCAAGUUCGUGAGCAUGAUCGACCCGCAGUCGAUCAUUGAGUGUGCCAUACGCUGUACAUUGCUGUACGUAUUUUUGUGAAAUGAAAACACGGUCCGGGAUUUGAAUGCAA